CAUUUUUCUAGUUCUAGGUUCAGGGAAUUGAGAUCUGAAGCUCAUUUCUGUUUUCCUUUUGGGUUGUGUGUAGAGAUCAUUUUUUGGUAGAUGUUUGGGAAGUCAGUAAAAAUAGAACAGCUACUGCCCUUCCACUUGUGCCCACCUUCUGCCUUUCCCUGUCAAAGGUGGAACUUUUAUAGGGGACCAAAAGUGAGAUACAUCACUUGGAAAUUUUUGACUACAAAGAGGGCGGUGUGUGUUAUGAGCUGUCCUCCUCUGUUCUUCAGAAUUCUCACCAUUGAAACCUCUUCAACACAUUUUCAGGUGACAGAUCUCUUAGAAGUCUUGUAGAAGUUGUGGCCUUGGGGGUUGUCAAUCCAGUAAAAGGAAGAUCAUCAAUGGAAGAGAGAUAUGGUUUGUAUAGGCAGGGCAGUAGGGCGUUGAGGUCCAUGAGAAAUGGAGAUUUUCAGGAAGGAGAUGUUUGGGAUGUUCUCAACAAAAGGGAAGAUUACAAUUCCGUGGUUGGUAGUUCAAUGGAAUCCUCUCAUUUUUCUCCAAGGCGCCCCCCAAGUGCCGCCAGAAUGAUAGGUAGAGUUCAUGGCAACAGCAAUCCCAUUCAUGAGCCCAGAGUGGUUCAGCAAUCAGCACCUGUCAAAAUUCCAGACUGGUCAAAGAUCUAUGGGGAGAAUUCAAAGAAAGCCAGCUCUAACAAUGCUUCAUGGCUCGAUAACAAUGAUGAUGAAGGGGAUGUUGGUGAUGGGGUUUUGAAUGAAGGUGAUGAUAGUGGUGAUGAUGAUGAUGAUGAUACUAAGUUGCCCCCACAUGAAUGGCUUGCUAAGAAGUAUGCAAGGAGUCAAAUUUCAUCCUUUUCUGUUUUUGAAGGUGUUGGAAGGACCCUGAAAGGGAGGGACCUUAGCAGAGUAAGGAAUGCUGUUCUCACGAAAACAGGUUUCCUAGAAUAGUGGUCCUCAUUAUGCUGUCUAUAUAAACCAGUGCAAUUUUAUGUACAGAUAUUAGUUUGUGAUGUUGGUGUGAGAUGAUGAUGGUUCUGUAUAGGUUUGUGGCUUGGGUGAAGGACACAUCCAUUUUAAAUGUAAAAUACUGAAGGGAUUGAUCUGCAUUUCGCAUUUCUCCAUGGACUUUGACUGCUCUUGGGUGUGUGUCUCUUUUUAUCACUUUCACCUACUACAAUACAUAAAUUCCUUUAAUUUUACAGAAAAAAAAUGUCAGAAACAGUUUCCUUUCCACGACAGUCUUCGUAGUUAUACUCAACUUGAUUGGAAGUGCCAGAACACAAGGAGCCCACAAAGCAUGUCAGUCAUUGGGUGCUGUUUCAAGCAAGUUGCCCUCUCAAUUUGCUUUGGUAACAACAAGAACCUAGUGCUUCCAAUGCUUUUGCUUCAUCACAAAGAUGCCAGUUGGACUGGGACCCCACAGCUUCCAUCAUUUUCAUCUAUUGACACAAAACAAUCAACAUCAUUUUGGUACUACCCAUCAUCUACAUACUUGGUAGAUUGAUUAAUUUGCAAAUUUUAACUUAUGGUUUGUGAGAAAAAGGAUAUUCUGGGGAUGAUAUGAAAGAGGAGGGUAGUCAGUCACUUCAUGGUUGGACAUGAAAUGUAGAUUUUAAUGUAUUGGGGUCUUCUUAAAGAAUAGAUAGAAAAAGUUAGUUUAGUGGAGUUUGAACCCAUUUAGUACUUGUCAAUGUAGAUUGGUUAGAUUCAAAGUAAUGGAUGAUAAUGGAGCUUAAUUAA